GAUGAAGAACGUAGCGAAAUGCGAUAAGUAGUGUGAAUUGCAGAUUUCAGUGAAUCAUCGAAUCUUUGAACGCACAUUGCGCCCAUUAGUAUUCUAGUGGGCAUGCCUGUUCGAGCGUCAUUUCAACCCUUAAGCCUAGCUUAGUGUUGGGAAUCUGCUGUAUUGCAGUUCCUCAAAUACAACGGCGGAUCUGUAACAUCCUCUGAGCGUAGUAAAUUUUUAUCUCGCUUUUGUUAGGUGUUGCAGCUCUCAGCCGCUAAACCCCCCAAUUUUUGUGGUUGACCUCGGAUCAGGUAGGAAUACCCGCUGAACUUAAGCAUAUCAAUAAGCGGAGGA
rnacentral:misc_RNA from 1 species